ACCUCCUGUCCAGUGGCCUGCAACAUAGGAACAAAACAAUAAAAUUCCACAUUCUAUGUUUUGUGUGCGAUGCUCCUGCAAAGGCCUUUGUGAAGAAUGUAAAACUUUGCACAGGCUAUUAUGGGUGUGACCGGUGUGUGCAGAGGGGUGAGUGGUAUGAGAAGGUUACUUACCAAGACACAGAGGUGGUGGCUCGUAGUGACGACUCCUUCCGCCAACAGACACAGGGCGAGCAUCAUCAUGGUAGCACCCCGCUUUUGGAUUUGCCCAUAGACAUGAUCAGUGCAUUUCCCAUCGAUUACAUGCACCAGGCAUGCUUGGGUGUAAUGAAGAGGCUUCUCUUCAUGUGGUGCAGAGGAGUGAAGGGCCUGAAGAUGUCGGCCACCCAAAUAGAGGAGGUCAGCAGCAGGCUCACCAACCUCCGUCCACACAUCCCUUCCAGCUUCGCUCGCAAACCAAGAGAUCUUAAAGAGCUUGAGAGAUGGAAGGCAACGGAACAUAGGCAGUUUAUGUUAUAUACAGGAAAGAUUGUGCUGAAGGGGGUCCUUAAAGAUGAAUUUUUCAGCCACUUCAUGACAUUCAGUGUGGCAAUGAACAUACUUGUAAGUCCAGCAUUGGUCGAGCAACACUGGAGAUAUGCUGAUCUCCUCCGAUUCUUUGUUGAGAGAGGCCGAGAACUUUAUGGUAACCAGUUUCUGGUCUACAACGUGCACUCAAUGUUGCACAUUGUGGAGGAUGCCGUGACCUUUGGAGGAUUGGACAAUUGUAGCGCUUUUAAAUUUGAAAAUUGUCUCAAGAAAAUAAAGAGGAUGGUAAGGAGUGGAAGAUGCCCCCUGUCACAAGUGGUGAAAAGGCUUGAGGAAUGUGCUGGACAGCCAAUGGAGCAUGGUAGGCAGAGGUCCAAUUCUUCUUUUAUUUUGAAUCGCCGCGAAUGCUGUGAGGUCAUAGAGGAGAGGGAUGGAAGCCAGCUGUGCCGUGUAUACCAGCACCCAGAACCACUUUUCAGUGUCCCUUGUGACUCCACAUUAAUCGGAGUACUGAAGUACAAGAACAAUGACACCCUUUUGAGAUGGAUCCAAAAAGACAACCUGAAAAGAAAGGCAAUCAAGAUUCCUGUUGGGGAAAAAAUCCUCUUCAUGGCCAUUCUUCAUGACAUUGCAGUAUGUUGUCAUUUGCUCAGUGUAUUAUCAUUGCAAUUUCUUAUACAGACACAAUAAUUCUUUACUGUAUUAAAUUAACCUCUCUGUUCUUGAUUACAGAAUGUAUAGCAUCGUCGAAUUUUUGGGGGAAAGGACUGUUGGCAUAGUGGCCAGUAAUUGGAUUAUAAAAGAGGGAGAUAAGACAUGCAGCUACUGGCCACUCCACAAGCCCACACAGAGGGCAAAGGACAAAGAUUUGCUCGAUCCUAAAACCUGGCUAAAAAGGCCAAUACAAAUAUUUUCCUCAACAGAUGAUUGGGAUCAGGCCGUCAGGAGGAACAAGAGGGCGGAGACAAAGUCCUGUGUGGAGACAGGAAAUGAGGACAAAGGGAGGCGCAUCAUCGUCAAACCCCAAAAAUUUAUUCACACCGGUAUAUCUGCACAUCCUUGUGUACUGUAUUAACUCAGUGUUAAAAGUGCAAGCAGCAAUUCUAAACAAUGUGUAAACAUGUAACACUGUUAUUUACGUUCGGCUAAUAUGAUUCUGUUCAGGUGAAAAGAAAACAAAGAAACGAAAUGGGAAAAAGGCAGGACAAGGUCCACAUUUCAGGACUUCCCUUCCUCCUCCACCCCAGAUAGAAUCCCCCAUUCCACGGCGUAGCCCACUACAAAUAUCUUCACCCCCUGUGACUGAUGACGAUUACUCCCCUCCUUCACCGGCAAGAGACGUUUUUACAGAAAAUGAUGGUAAAGUUAUGUAUGGGAAUGAUGACGAAUGAUGAUGACAUAACAGUAAUUCUAUGAGCCAAGACAACAAAGAGUUUGAAACCAAAAAAAUUACAUUGAAUUAUUGUUUUGUACUUUCUGCAGAUGAUUCAAUCGCAUCUUCAUUUGAAACGCCAUUGCCUAUCUCUACUGGGGACGGUAAAGUGGCGGGUGGAGAGGGUGGUUAAAACCAAA